rnacentral:rRNA from 1 species
GAAUAUUGGACAAUGGGUGAGAGCCUGAACCAGCCAUGCCGCGUGCAGGAAGACGGCCUUCUGGGUUGUAAACUGCUUUUACCAGGGGGUAAAACGACUCUGCGGAGUUAAUUGAAGGUACCUGGAGAAUAAGCACCGGCUAACUACGUGCCAGCAGCCGCGGUAAUACGUAGGGUGCAAGCGUUGUCCGGAUUUAUUGGGUUUAAAGGGUGCGUAGGCGGGCUAUUAAGUCAGUGGUGAAAUCCAACAGCUCAACUGUUGAUGUGCCAUUGAUACUGGUAGCCUUGAGUACAGAUGAGGUAGGCGGAAUUGACAGUGUAGCGGUGAAAUGCAUAGAUAUUGUCAAGAACUCCGAUAGCGAAGGCAGCUUACUGGGCUGUAACUGACGCUGAUGCACGAAAGUGUGGGGAUCAAACAGG